AUCCUUUUGCAGUUCAUGAGCAUGAUGAUUGGGUUUCCACACUCACGUGUGAGAUGUGUCCCCCUCAAACCUUAUCACAACAUCAGUACAUCAUUUGUCUGACG